rnacentral:rRNA from 1 species
CCUACGGGUGGCAGCAGUGAGGAAUAUUGGUCAAUGGGCGGGAGCCUGAACCAGCCAAGUCGCGUGAGUGAUGACGGUCCUACGGAUUGUAAGCCUCUUUUGCCGGGGAGCAAGCGUGCGUUCGUGAACGCGCGUCGAGAGUACCCGGAGGAAAAGCAUGUGCUAACUCCGUGCCAGCAGCCGCGGUAAUACGGAGGAUGCGAGCGUUAUCCGGAUGUAUUGGGUUUAAAGGGUGCGUAGGCGGACGCUUAAGUCAGCGGUAAAAUUGCGGGGCUAACCCUCGUCGAGCCGUUGAAACUGGGUGCCUUGAGUGGGCGAGAAGUACGCGGAAUGCGUGGUGUAGCGGUGAAAUGCAUAGAUAUCACGCAGAACUCCGAUUGCGAAGGCAGCGUACCGGCGCCCAACUGACGCUGAAGCACGAAGGCGUGGGUAUCGAACAGGAUUAGAUACCCGGGUAGUC